UGCACCGGUAGCUCAAUUGGAUAGAGUGCUUGGCUACGGACCAAGAGGUUAGGGGUUCAAAUCCUCUCCGGUGCGA
rnacentral:tRNA from 1 species